rnacentral:rRNA from 1 species
AUUGAACGCUGGCGGCAGGCCUAACACAUGCAAGUCGAGCGAGCGGCGGACGGGUGCGUAAUGUCUGGGGAACUGCCUGAUGGAGGGGGAUAACUACUCGAAACGGUUGCUAAUACCGCAUACCAUCAGAUGUGCCCAGAUGGGAUUAGCUAUUAGGUGGGGUAACGGCUCACCUAGGGGACGAUCCCUAGCUGGUCUGCGAGGUUGUCCAGCCACACUGGAACUGAGACACGGUCCAGACUCCUACGGGAGGGAGCAGUGUGGAGUAUUGCACAAUGGGCGCAAGCCUGAUGCAGCCAUGCCGCGUGUGUGAAGAAGGCCUUCGGGUUGUAAAGCACUUUCAGCGGGGAGGCGUUACCCGCAGAAGAAGCACCGGCUAACUCCGUGCCAGCCGCCGCGGUAAUAC